rnacentral:misc_RNA from 1 species
AAGUCGUAACAAGGUUUCCGUAGGUGAACCUGCGGAAGGAUCAUUACAGAGCGUGAAGCUAUGCGGAACUUCGUUUCGUGUAGUUGACCCUCCACCCGUGUCGAUUAUCUCAUGUUGCUUUGGCGGAUCGGGCUUGCCCGCGCCCACUUUGUGGGGGAUAUCCGCCAGGGAAGACCAAAACUCUUGUUAUCAGUGAUGUCUGAGGAUGAUAUAUAAUCAUGAAAACUUUCAACAACGGAUCUCUUGGCUCUG